GACGAACGCUGGCGGCGUGCUUAACACAUGCAAGUCGAACGAUGAACCACUUCGGUGGGGAUUAGUGGCGAACGGGUGAGUAACACGUGGGCAAUCUGCCCUUCACUCUGGGACAAGCCCUGGAAACGGGGUCCAAUACCGGAUAACACUGCCACGGGCAUCUGUGGUGGUUAAAAGCUCCGGCGGUGAAGGAUGAGCCCGCGGCCUAUCAGCUUGUUGGUGAGGUAAUGGCNCACCAAGGCGACGACGGGUAGCCGGCCUGAGAGGGCGACCGGCCACACUGGGACUGAGACACGGCCCAGACUCCUACGGGAGGCAGCAGUGGGGAAUAUUGCACAAUGGGCGAAAGCCUGAUGCAGCGACGCCGCGUGAGGGAUGACGGCCUCGGUU
rnacentral:rRNA from 1 species